rnacentral:rRNA from 1 species
UACGUAGGGUGCUAGCGUUGUCCGGAUUUACUGGGCGUAAAGGGCUCGUAGGCGGCCAACUAAGUCAUACGUGAAAUCCCCCGGCUUAACCGGGGAACUGCGUCUGAUACUGGAUGGCUUGAGUUCGGGAGAGGGAUGCGGAAUUCCAGGUGUAGCGGUGAAAUGCGUAGAUAUCUGGAGGAACACCGGUGGCGAAGGCGGCAUCCUGGACCGAUACUGACGCUGAGGAGCGAAAGCCAGGGGAGCAAACGGG